GUUCUGGUGGCCUAGUGGUUAGAGAGUCUGCCUCAGAUGCAGGAGGUUGUGGGUUCAAUCCCCAGUCAAGUCA